rnacentral:rRNA from 1 species
GAUGAACGCUGGCGGCGUGCUUAAUACAUGCAAGUCGAGCGAACAGCCUAUUCGCUUGCUCUUCUUACGUUAGCGGUGGAUGGGUGAGUAACACGUUGCUAACCUCCCUAUAAUACUUCCAUAACUUCGGGACUCCUGCCCUAUUUUCGGCUCUUCUCUCGAACCGCAUGGUUCAAUAGUUUUCGACGUUUUUGUUGUCACUUAUCGUUUCAUCCUCGCCGCAUUAGCUAGUUGUUACGGUACCGGCUUACCAAGGCGACGAUGCGUAGACGACCUGAGAGGGUGAUAGGCCACACGGGAACGGAGACGCGGUCCAGACUACUAAGGGAGGCAGCAGUAGGGAAUGUGCGGCAAUAGGCGAAAGCUUGGCGGAGCAACGCCAAGUGAGUGAUAAAGGUCUUCGGAUCGUAAAACUCUGUUAUGAGGGAAGAACAAAUGUGUAAGGGACUAUGCACGAAUUGACGGUACCUAAAGAGAAAGCAACGGCUAACUACGUG